rnacentral:rRNA from 1 species
GUCCUUAGUUACCAGCACGUAUGUGGGCACUCUAAGGAGACUGCCGGUGACAACCGGAGGAAGUGGGGAUGACGUCACGUCAUCAUGGCCCUUACGGCCUGGGCUACACACGUGCUACAAUGGUCGGUACAAAGGGUUGCCAAGCCGCGAGGUGGAGCUAAUCCCAUAAAACCGAUCGUAGUCCGGAUCGCAGUCUGCAACUCGACUGCGUGAAGUCGGAAUCGCUAGUAAUCGUGAAUCAGAAUGUCACGGUGAAUACGUUCCCGGGCCUU